rnacentral:rRNA from 1 species
UGGGGAAUAUUGGGCAAUGGAGGAAACUCUGACCCAGCAACGCCGCGUGAGGGAUGAAGGCCUUCGGGUUGUAAACCUCUGUCCUGUGGGACGAAACAAAUGACGGUACCACAGGAGGAAGCUCCGGCUAACUACGUGCCAGCAGCCGCGGUAAUACGUAGGGAGCAAGCGUUGUCCGGAAUUACUGGGCGUAAAGGGUGCGUAGGCGGUUUUUUAAGUCAGAUGUGAAAGACCGGGGCUUAACCCCGGGAUUGCAUUUGAAACUGGAAGACUUGAGUGCAGGAGAGGUAAGUGGAAUUCCUAGUGUAGCGGUGAAAUGCGUAGAUAUUAGGAGGAACACCAGUGGCGAAGGCGGCUUACUGGACUGCAACUGACGCUGAGGCACGAAAGCGUGGGGAGCAAACAGG